rnacentral:tRNA from 1 species
UUCGGCGGACUAGUGGUUAGGCCACAGCACUCUCACCGCUGCGGCUCGGGUUCGAUUUCCGGCCAGGAAA